CGUGUGACUGCGUACCUUUUGUAUAAUGGGUCAGCGACUUAUAUUCUGUAGCAAGGUUAACCGAAUAGGGGAGCCGAAGGGAAACCGAGUCUUAACUGGGCGUUAAGUUGCAGGGUAUAGACCCGAAACCCGGUGAUCUAGCCAUGGGCAGGUUGAAGGUUGGGUAACACUAACUGGAGGACCGAACCGACUAAUGUUGAAAAAUUAGCGGAUGACUUGUGGCUGGGGGUGAAAGGCCAAUCAAACCGGGAGAUAGCUGGUUCUCCCCGAAAGCUAUUUAGGUAGCGCCUCGUGAAUUCAUCUCCGGGGGUAGAGCACUGUUUCGGCAAGGGGGUCAUCCCGACUUACCAACCCGAUGCAAACUGCGAAUACCGGAGAAUGUUAUCACGGGAGACACACGGCGGGUGCUAACGUCCGUCGUGAAGAGGGAAACAACCCAGACCGCCAGCUAAGGUCCCAAAGUCAUGGUUAAGUGGGAAACGAUGUGGGAAGGCCCAGACAGCCAGGAUGUUGGCUUAGAAGCAGCCAUCAUUUAAAGAAAGCGUAAUAGCUCACUGGUCGAGUCGGCCUGCGCGGAAGAUGUAACGGGGCUAAACCAUGCACCGAAGCUGCGGCAGCGACACUAUGUGUUGUUGGGUAGGGGAGCG
rnacentral:rRNA from 1 species